rnacentral:misc_RNA from 1 species
UCCGGUUUGUCACCGGCGGUCUCCUUAGAGUUCCCACCAUUACGUGCUGGCAACUAAGGACAAGGGUUGCGCUCGUUGCGGGACUUAACCCAACAUCUCACGACACGAGCUGACGACAGCCAUGCACCACCUGUGAUGGUGUCCCGAAGGAAAGGUGUGUUUCCACACCGGCCACCAACAUGUCAAGCCCAGGUAAGGUUCUUCGCGUUGCGUCGAAUUAAACCACAUGCUCCACCGCUUGUGCGGGCCCCCGUCAAUUCCUUUGAGUUUCAGCCUUGCGGCCGUACUCCCCAGGCGGGGUGCUUAACGCGUUAGCUGCGACGCUGAAAGGGUCGCUCCCCCCAGCAUCUAGCACCCAACGUUUACGGCUAGGACUAC